UGCCAUGCCCAGUGUAAGUUCUAAUGCUUCCAUCCACAGGGCAAUCUUUGCCUGUCACCUUGCUUCUAGGUUGUACGCUAUUUGGCUGGCUGUGGUCUGCAGAGCUGCCAGAUGCUGGUGUCCAAGGGUUAUCCAGACAUUGGGUGGAAUCCAGUGGAGGGGGAGAGAUACCUUGACUUCCUCAGAUUUGCUGUCUUCUGUAAUGGUAAGACCAGGCUGCUUGAGGUCUUUUGAUUAAAAGUACAUGAAAAUAAGAAUUCAUCCCUGUAUUUUCAUGGAGAAAGUGAAUGCUAUUAGAGAAAUCAUGCAUUUUAUUCUCAGUAGGUUUUCUUGGUAGUAAUCAUUUAUUGUACAAAAUUUGCAUGGAUAAUGCUUUCAUUAUUUAAAUUAAAAUCUUUAGGUACCCAAAUUCUUAUAAAAUUUUAAAUUUAAUUCUAAUAAUUAGGAAUAAGAUAUCUUUUUCCAUAAUAAGUCAAUGAGAAUGAGUAGUUUGUGCCUCUAUAAUGCUUUUCUUAAAUAAUCUUAAAUAUUAAGAAAAGAAAUUGUGCUUUGUAUUAUAAAGCUAGUGAUUUGGGUUAAGUUUUGGCUUUGCUAGUAUGUUCUUGAGUUUAACUUAUUGCUUUGAAUAAGAACUGAUUGUCUUGAAAUUUAUUUGCUCAGAGCUUCUAUAUAACCCAUCAUUGUUUAUGUCCCUCUUUUGAAUUUAGGGGAGAGUGUGGAAGAAAAUGCAAAUGUCGUGGUGAGAUUGCUCAUUAGGAGGCCUGAGUGCUUCGGUCCUGCUUUGAGAGGGGAAGGUGGGAAUGGUCUUCUUGCAGCUAUGGAAGAAGCGAUAAAAAUAGCUGAGGAUCCUUCCCGAGAUGGCCCCUCUCCAACGAGCGGAUCCAGCAAAACCCUGUAGGUCUCAUAUAC
rnacentral:lncRNA from 1 species